AUCAAAUUUGUGUGUUUCUGGAACAGGAAGGAAACGUAUUUCACCCUCUAAUGGCUGUGACCUACACAGAUGUUGCCAUCACGGAUGUCAAGACUAUCAAACUGUGACUGUGAGCAGCACCCACAUAUGGCUCUAGGUGUGAUGGGUGAGGUGGCUGUGCUCUACUCCCUGCUUAAGACAGUCAGCUGGAAGAGGACAUUGAUGUGGAGGUGCAGUGUCUCCAUCAUUUAGGCCAGUUUUGAACAUAUGUUGGUGUAAAGCUUGGCAGCUACUGGUGAGCCAAAACAUGAACCCACUCCAGUCUGCACCAAUGAAUAAGCACGAUUCAAACCACCCAUUCAGAGGUCACAAUAUGACAGGAUACAGGAUUCAGUCAGGUAUGUGUUUACUUCUGUUACGUGUGUCCCUCUAUAAAUUGAAAACAAAAUACAGUAGUUUCCACUCCAUCAAUGAUUCAUUGUCUCUUGUCCUUGAGCUAACGGACUCAUCUGCAGCCAAGCCAUCUGAGACAAAGCCCAAAGGCUCCCAUUCCACGAACCACUUCCUAGGAUACAGACCACGUUAGUACAAAUAGCCAUAGGAAAGCUCACACAAGCAAACUGAAACCACACAUUUGGUUUUGUCUCCCAUGUUGUAUUUUUUUUUACCUCAGGCCAACCCUGACAUGGACUAUAUAGUGAAGGACAAACUGAUGUUUGAGCAGGUCAUAGGGACGGAGUUCUUUGAACCUGGCAAGAAGAACGUAUAUUUUACAACUGCAACAAACAUGACCUAGACAGCUCUGUGUGUUCUGUCAACGUGUCUCCCUGUGUGUAUGUUUGAUGUUUGUUUGGAUACUCUUUGCAGAUGAGGCCCACUCCUUCAGUGAUAUGCUGUUUUAUGGAAACGAGGCCACACUGAUGAUCUUUGACACUUGUUAUUCUGUGUCUUCGCCCUCGGACGCCCAGAGCUUUGUGCUGUUCUUACAUACGUACAGCAAUUGAUCAGUAUUUGGUAUGUGUGUACAGUGUCCUCUCUUUACUGUGCCAAGUUCAUUA